rnacentral:lncRNA from 1 species
UCCCCCUGACCCUUCUGUUGCUAGGUCAAAUACAUGUCCCCCUGACCCUUCUGUUGCUAGGUCAAAUACAUGUCCCCCUGACCCUUCUGUUGGACAUACUGUUGCUAGGUCAAAUACAUGUCCCCCUGACCCUUCUGUUGGACAUACUGUUGCUAGGUCAAAUACAUGUCCCCCGGACCCUUCUGUUGGACAUACUGUUGCUAGGUAAAAUACAUGUCCCCCUGACCCUUCUGUUGCUAGGUCAAAUACAUGUCCCCCUGACCCUUCUGUUGCUAGGUCAAAUACAUGUCCCCCGGACCCUUCUGUUGCUAGGUCAAAUACAUGUCCCCCUGACCCUUCUGUUGCUAGGUCAAAUACAUGUCCCCCUGACCCUUCUGUUGCUAGGUCAAAUACAUGUCCCCCUGACCCUUCUGUUGGACAUACUGUUGCUAGGUCAAAUACAUGUCCCCCUGACCCUUCUGUUGCUAGGUCAAAUACAUGUCCCCCUGACCCUUCUGUUGCU